AAUAUCAGACAAACCUGAGUGGAGGGCCAUUCUACAAAAUCUGUUACCAGUACUAUUUUAAAAUGUCAAGGUCAUGCAGGACAAGUAAAACUAUCAGAUCAGACAAUACUAAAGAGAUAUAACUAUUAAAUGCAAUGUAGUACUCUGGACUAGAUCCUGGAUCAGAGUAAAUAUGUUCAUGUAAAAUCUUAUGAAAUCCAAAUAAAUUCUGUAGUUUAGUUAGCAGUGUUAUAUCAAUGUUGAUUCCUUAGUUUUGGUAGCUGCAUUAUGAUUAUAUGAAACGUUGACAGAGGAAACUGGGUGAAGGGUAUACUGGAACUGUUUGUACUAUCUUUUUAACUCUUCUGUAAGCUUAAUAUGAUGUCCAAAACUAAAAGCUCUUAAAAUAGUUCAAGAAAUAACCUACUGAGAAAAGUGGCAUUGUUUUACAUUUUUGAAAAUCAAUUUAAUGAAUGUCUUUAAUGGGAAUCAGAUGGAUUCUGAAUUUUACAUUCAAUCUGUUACAAUAUUAUGUGUCAUAUAGCCUCUGGAAACCCAGCUAUAUAUUUGUAAGAAAAUGGGAGUGAAAAAGGCAACGGUGUCAUUAUAAAUUUGUGGAUUCCUGGAAAGGGUUUAUGGGUCCCUUAGUCCUGUAAUACAUUUGAGAACCAGUGAAUUAGGGUAACACUCUUGAGUUCUCUUUACCAUUUAGGGUGAUUGCUGAGUUCUGGAGACAGACUGGGCUUCUGCUUUCUUUUGGGGGAGGUGUCUGCUUGCAGAAAAUUUAUGUUCUGGAGCAACAUGAUAUAUGACGUACUUCUCCAUUUACGACACUUGGUGGGCUUCGUGCUGGUAUUUUGGGACGAAUUCCCCUUUCAGGUAAUCCCAAGGUUAAUUUUUAAAUGAACUCUCACUUGUGAAAUGAUGCAAUAGUGGAUAGAGAUGGGGAACACAGAGUGUGAUGCCUCCCAGGCCCUGUUAUUUUCUAGUGUGCUCUGCUAGGGACAUUGUUUUGCUAAUUAUUCAUCUUUAUAAAAUUUAGCUUUUAAUGUCCACUCACUGUUCAACUUUCUGUAUAUACUGUUUAAUUGAAUGUGGAAUCACUUGCCUGAAGGCAUUUCACAACCACAAAUGUCUUGGUCUCUGAUGAAGAGACAAAAAGCCUUGGGAAGCUUCAAAUAAACCAAAACACCACAGUGGUUUCUAGUUGGUAGAGAUGCUUAAAUAAUUUUCCUUUUUAAAUUAUUCUUGUGUUUAUUGAAUAUAUAAUGAUAUUACUGAUUUUUUUUAACUUGGCUUGGGAAAAAAGCAUCCAAACUCUAGUAAUAUGAAGUCUUCAGCACUAACUUAAUCCGUUCAACAUCAUUUUGAUUCUUGCUGAAUCCUGGGAUAAUUGCCUG
rnacentral:lncRNA from 1 species